rfam:Canis lupus familiaris chromosome 26, whole genome shotgun sequence.
GCCUGGGUGGCUCAGUGGUUGAGCGUCUGCCUUUGACUCAGGGCAUGACCUUGGAGUCCUGGGAUCAAGUCCCACAUCGGGCU